GGGCUUUUCUUCGCAUUUUUGAAAUUCUGAUGGCCUUUUUGGACCAUACGCCCUAACCUAACUUGUUUUUCUCGCUUUUUCAAUCAAAGGGAGUGCGUAAAGGCCUCUGGAUAAACUUAAGCAGCUAUCGGGAGCGUUCCUUAUUCGCUUUGUUUAAGUCCUCUUUUAAAAGCUUUAAAAAGAUGUUUGUGAAAAUUUGUUCCUCUGAGACUAAAUAUCCUUUUUUCCUUGACGAGGAGUUGUGUGAGAGAUUUCCCCUUUAUUGGUGUCCUGAGCCUAUGCCGGUUCUUGAUGCCUUGGGGAGGUCCGAGGAAGAGGAUUUUGUUCUGGAGUAUCUUAUUGAAUGUUUUUCUUUUGGUAAGUUGUUGUCUACUGCUGAGCUUCUUCAGCGUGAAAAUAACCCUGAUGGGUUGGCCGAAUAUAUUGGUGGGAGGGUUCCGAGCUUGUCCUUAGCGAAGAUGCGUACUUUCUUAGAGAAAAAAACGGGAGGGAAAGGGAGCUUCAGUUAGCAAUGUUUUGAAAGAAGUGGAUGCCAAAGGAGCGCAGUCUAGUGCGGUUCCUCGGGGUGAGAAGAGGAAGAGUCCAGAGCCUGAGGAUUCGCUCGAGGUUCUUUUCGGAUUUGAUUUCGCCAGCAGUGGCCGGGUUAGGGGUAACUUGAAGAACCAAAUGUGUUUGCAUGGUUUUGUUACUGGUGGGAGUUUGGACUCGGUUUGGAGCGACCAUUUCCCUUAUGCCGCGCUUUCUGAGAAAGUUGCUCAGAGUUCUUCUGACUUUGAGCUUUUGAAUGGUGCUGGGAAGGAAACAGUUGGCCAAUAUGUUUAGGUUGUAGCUGCCAGGCUCCUAUGUGUUGGUCGGGUCCUGGAGCUAUCUGGCGCUCAGGAGAAGAAGGAAGCCAGGAAGAUAGCAGAUCUUGAAAAAUCACUGAAUGAGAGGGAUGGUGUUAUUAUGGAUCUGAUGGAAAAGAUGAAAGACUUGGAGGGUGAGAUAGGAACUCUGUAGGACCAAGUCCGCACUCUUCAACAACAAUCAAAAGAAUAUGAUGUUGAAAAAGAAAGUUUGACUGCUCGGAUUCAGGAGCUUGAAGAUAGUGGUUUAGAGAUGUUCGCUGCCGAAUUUGAUUGAGCAGUUAGUCAGGUUCAUGUGUUCACCCCCGAAUUCGACGUUAGUCAAUUUGACG